rnacentral:lncRNA from 1 species
GCUUUGAAAGAAACGACUGCACAUGCCACCCAAGAUCCUCUGAGAGCCACUAUUGCACAUGCUACCCGAGGUGCUUCAAGAGGUGCUGCUGCACGUGCCAUCCGAAGGGUUUUAAGUGGUGCUGCAGCACCUGCUACCCAAGGUGCUUCCAGGGGUGCUGCUGCACCUGCUACGGAAGGUGCUCUGAAAGGUGUUGGUGCAUGUGUUAUUCGAGAUGCUGCCAAAGGUGCUCCUGCAUAUGCCGUGCCACAACCAGGUUGGGCUUUAUCCCAGUUGCAGGUGCUUCCCAAGAAACGCAAGGAAAAAAACUAUAAACUUAGAUCUUCAGGUAGUCCGGAAAGAAAGAAAAAGAGACCCAGUGAAGCAGAGCACAAAUGGGUGUCAUACAGUGUCACAAAUGCUCCUCAAGUUCAGCAAGGAUACCCAUGGAAUGGCUUCCCCAAACCUGAUAUUCCAAGGCCUCUGAGACGUGAUGGUGCCAAGGCCUGGGGUCAUUAAAUGACCUGUGCAUAGCCACAUGUCACUGAGCACUUAAUGCUGAUCUUCAAUUCUGAGCAUCCAGUUUUUAUACUCUAUAAAUUUAGUAUAAUAUCACAUUCUAUGUUAGAGUCAUUUGACACUUAAAUAAAAUUGUUAUCCAGUA